AAAGCUCGUAGUUGGAUUCAGAGGUGGGGUURUGGGUCGGGUGUGGCCCGGCAGCUUGUCUCCGUGUGCCGCUCCCAAUCAACCCGCGUUUGCCCCAGCCUCCUAUCGCACGGAAACGGAGUCCUGCUGGGGUCUCCUUAACUGGGGGUUCCAGCGCUUCCGCGCACAACGUGCGCUUACGGACCGUCCGUGGACGUUACUGUGAACAAAACAGCGUGUUCAAAGCAAGUGGCUUGCCUGCCCUGCAUGUUAAAGCAUGGAAUAACAAGGCAUCGACCACUCGGCGGUGCUUUUGUUGGUCUUUCCCUCCCGGUGGRAAUGCGCAGGCGUGCACACUGCCGGCCUUCUGGCCGGUCUGGGUGCCGUCUCUUCGAGAUCAAUAGGGGCAAACGGGGAGAUACUUAUUGUGGGGAGAGCGGUGAAAUGCGAUGACCCCCAUAAGAGGAACUUCAGCGAAAGCAGUUCUCAAGACUGCCUUCGUUAAUCAAGAACGAGACUGUGGGGAUCAAAGAUGAUCAGAUACCGUCGUAGUCCACUAGCGAAAACGAUGCCG
rnacentral:rRNA from 1 species